ACUCAAAGGAAUUGACGGGGGCUCACACAAGCGGUGGAGCAUGUGGCUUAAUUCGAAGCAACGCGAAGAACCUUAUCCUGGGCUUGACAUGUAUGGAUUAGCUCCUUGAAAGAGGAGUGAGGCCUUCGGGUACAACAUACACAGGUGCUGCAUGGCUGUCGUCAGCUCGUGCUGUGAAGUGUCGGGUUAAGUCCCUUAACGAGCGAAACCCCUAUCGCUAGUUGCUACCAGGUAAUGCUGAGGACUCUAGUGAGACUGCCGGUGUCAAACCGGAGGAAGGUGGGGAUGACGUCAAGUCCUCAUGGCCUUUAUGCCCAGGGCUGCACACGUGCUACAAUGGCGUAUACAAAGCGACGCGAGACCGCAAGGUGGAGCAAAUCGCAUAAAAUACGCCCCAGUUCAGAUUGAGGUCUGCAACCCGACCUCAUGAAGUUGGAAUCGCUAGUAAUCGUGGAUCAGCUACGCCACGGUGAAUAUGUUCCUGAGCCUUGCACACACCGCCCGU
rnacentral:rRNA from 1 species